rnacentral:tRNA from 1 species
GCCUGGGUGGCUCAGUCGGUUGAGCGUCUGACUUGGGCUCAGGUCAUGAUCUCACAGUUCAUGGGUUCAAGCCCCGCAUCAGGCU